GGGCUCGCUUCGGCAGUAUGGACACUGACAUUGGAACGAUACAGAGAUUAGCAUGGCCCCUGUGCUUGCACACAAAUGCGAAAUCCUGAAGUGUUCCGUAUUUAA
rnacentral:snRNA from 14 species